GCUGCUAAUGUCCACAUGGACUUCCUGUUUCAGACUCCAGCGAGCUCUCCAAUCUGUUUUCAACUAAACACACAGGAGCUUUAAUCACCACACACACACUCCUCACACACUCACGCACACACACACACACACACUCUCCUCACCACGCUACACUGCCUGUCUCUGUCUCGCUCUCUUUCUUUCUUGCUUUAGUUCUCUCUUUCCUCUUGUUUUCUCCUUCUUUCCUUUCUUUCUUGUGCUCUCUCUCUCUCUCGUUUUUCCUUCCUCUCUUUUCCCUUUGCUGUCUCUUUUCUUCCUUUCUCUACUUCUCACUUUCUUUCCCUCUUUCCUUUCAGCUUUCUCCUUCUUUCCUUUGUUUAGUUUUCUUCCUUGCUCUCUCUCCCAUUAUUAUUUUUUCUUUUCCUCUCUUCCUCUUGCUGUGUCCUUUCAUCCCCCCCUCCUUCUCUUCUUGCUCUUCACCUAUAAACAGACAGAGUAGUGACAUCACUUCCUGUGUGGCCAUGACCUGUGUGUUUGUCCCUGACUGUGUCGUUCUGUCUCUCUCGUUCCUCUCCUCUCUGUUCUGGGGUCAGUUUUCUGGUCUCUGCUCUGACCAUCAGGUGCAGAUUAAAGAUCUCAGACCUGCUCCUGUUGCUGCUGAAGCUGCAGAUGAAGAACCAUCUGGACCCGUCGGUUCUGCGCUUCGGGAGACGAGCGCUCGCUGUGUUGUGCUUUUAUUAGACGGCGAGUGACUGGGCACGGCCUCGCUAACACCACAGUGAGCACUCGCUCCUGAAAUACCAGUCCUCUCGCACCUCAACACUGGCUCGGCUCGCUGUCGUGUUUACACGCUGAAUAGCAGCCCGAUGCGACGUGACCCAGAAUGGCACGCUUUUAUUUUUAAAGAUCCGCCUCAGGAAGGAGGAUAACUAACCAACAAACAGGGCAUGUAGCUAAACGUGUUCCAGCAAAGCAUGUUAACUUUGAAAAGUCUGAGUUUAAAGACGUUUGGAUCAUCAUUAAAUGAACCAGCACACGCAUUCGCACGCUUUCGCGCGCAUUCAGAUUAACGCUGAUGCUCUCGGAAACCCAGGAUCGCGCCGAAUUUCCCACAAACGUGACCUCAGAUCAGAACAAACAUGGUGGACGCCUUCUUUACCUUCUUUCUUUCACUCUUGUGCUUGCUUUCUUACUUUCCUGUUUUCUCUCUCAUUCAUUCCUUUCUUCCAUCCUCUUUCGCCUUUUUCACUCUUGCCUUCUAAUCCCUCUCUUUUUUCCCUUCCUUCCGUCAUUCCUUCUUAGUUCCUUCCUUCCUUCUUUCUUAUCUCUCUCUCUCUUUCUUUUGCUCUCUCUCUCUGUCUUUCUUUCUGUUUUUUCUUUCCUUUUCUUUCCUUCCUUCCUUUUUCUAUUCUUUCUUUUGCUCCUUCCUUUCUUUCUUUCUCUCUUACUACCUCUAUCUCUCUCUUUCUUUCUUUUGCUCUGUCUUUCUUUCUUUCUUUCUUUCUUACUAUCUGUCUUUCUUUCUUUCCUUUUCCUUCCUUCCUUUUUUCUAUUCUUUCUUUUGCUCGUUCCUUUCUUCCUCUUUAGCUCUUUCUCACUACUUCUCUCUCUUUCUUUCGUGCUCUGUGCUUUCUUUCUCUUUCCUUUUCCCUUCCUUCCUUUAGUUCUUUCUUACCUUUCUACCAUUUUUUUUAAUAUGGCACUGACCAGAUUUUUCCUCCUGUCUCUCUCUCGCUCUCUUUAGUAGUAGACAGAGUAGUGACAUCACUUCCUGUGUGGCCCUGAUCUUUUGCGUUACUCUCUCUUUCCGUUCUCUGGGCAGUUUUGUCGUCUCUGCUCUGAUGAUCAGAUCCAGAUGAAAGAUCUCGGAGCUGCAGAUGAAGAAGAACUGGGUGUUUAUCAGGUCGUAGUGAAUCUCAGAAAGGACAGACCGAAAGUGUUUGAUGUAACAGACACCUUCAGUAUUAAGGCGUGUAUCGACGGCGGCCGUCAAACCCAACCCGAUACCUCACUAUUCAGUUCCACGGUAAGGUUUUCCGAUGCCCAGACGUCAGGGCGGCGUUAGAUGCUGGGAGAUGACCUCACACUCGACUCGACCGUUAUUCAUUAUUAACCCUGAAUCAGAUGCGUUUGAGAAGAGGAAACUCUAAACUGCGACUUUCACGAGACGAGACGAUUCGGUGUCGUACAAAUACUUUAACCUGAGAGCUUUUAACUGCAGAACUGACAGAAAAGUGUUUUAAUAACAUUUCUAAAUAAAUAUUAGACAGGAAAUGAACAGAGCUGCACCUCUGGAGUCGAAGCCGAACACACCACAAUGCUGGCACUAAUAUUAGUGGUGUACACGCUAUAGGGCUGGGCGAUAUAUCGAUAUAACAUCGAUAUUGUGAUGAAUGAUUAUGCGAUACACUUUCCUGAGAUAUCGUUGCUAUGGUGAUGUAUUCUUUUAGUUUUUUAAUAAUUACAGAUUAAAUGGUAGUGAAUAGAUGCCAUUGAUUUGACGUAAUAUAUUUAUUUGUCAUUUUUAAAUCUGUUCGUGUGGAGCGUCCAGCGUACGAUUCCCCGUGAACGAGCCGUUACUAUGGAAACGAUAACGUAUCAGAACGAGCGCGUUAAUACGAACCUGCGCUACUCUCAGAGCUGCUGUUAUAGAAAACUAAACCACAUCUUCUGACCAAUCAGAGACCAGGUUCCAACGAUGAAGAUGAUCUAUCGUGAUAUUUCGAUACAGAGUCGUCAUAACAGUAUUGACCUCAGCGCUCUGGCUGAAACGGGUUUAAAACCCCGCUGCCGUAUGUAGUCGUUUUAUUAUAUGAUUAUAGCGUGUUAGGGCAUAGUGCGGAACAGGAAGUGCUUCAGUGACGUCUGUUUAAUGAUUCCUUUGUUCUGUCGUGUUUUGAGCUACACCCAGAAAAACGAGUCACAUUUCACUGAACCUUCUUUUCCCUUCCCUUCAGUUACGUCACGGGAAUUCCAGCUCUCGUUCGUGAAGGACCGUCAGUUUUACAUUCUUACUGGUUUCCGGUUAGAUGUUUGCUUUUAGGAAACGAGAGCUUUGUCUCUGUUCCGUGUGGAUCCGCACGGUUAAAGGAUCGCUUGGCUGAUUUUAGCUAUACGGAAUAAAAACAGGCUUUUCAUACCAGAUAUUUUCAUGUCAAUUUGGGAGGAAAAUUACCUCAGGCUAUUCUCAUCAUCAUCAUCAUCUCUCUCUCUCUCUCUCUCUCUCUCUCUCUCUCUCUCUCUGUGUUUGUGGGUGUGGUUUUCUUUCCAAACGUCCUUGAGCUUUGGAAACGAAUGUUUUGUUGUUGUUGUUGUUGUUUUUAUUAUAUCUAUGUUGCUUUUAUAUUUACAUUUAUUCAUUUUCCUCUUUAAGGUGACGUGAUCCAUCCCACACCGUCUACCACUUAACCUGGAAAUGGGAAGUCACUUGUUAGCAACAAGCUAGCCAGGUUACUGUACAUUAGCACUAUGGGUGAUGUUUAAUGUUCACGUGGUGUUUACCUUCUGAAAAGAGCGAACUGGACGGUCAGUGUUGCGGUCAGAUGUGAACCGAACAGCGUGUCGAGUCGUCAGUGUACUUUAUGCGGAGAUGGCGUCUGACUGGUUUCCAUCAGGAAUUUACAUUUAUUCGUUUAGCAGACACUUUUUAUCCAAAGCGACUGACAAAUGAGGAAAUACAAGCAAAGCAAUAGAUCAAGCGGAGAAUAAUACAAGUAGUGCAACUGAUAAUGUGGUGUUGGCAUUUUAGGGGUUGGUUAGGUGUUCACAGAAGAGGUGGGUCUAUAGCUGUGUUUUGAAGAUAGUGCCGGAUUCUGCGGUCCGGAACAUGGCCGAUUCGACCUGAACGUCACCUGGGUUCGUCGGUCUCGAGUACCAACUGCGACUGUCUUCUCUUGUCACCAAAGUUGUUUAGUUUUAUUUCGAUUUUUGAUUCUUCCUCCCCAAUUUGAUCAUUUGCCAUUUCCUGUGAGACGUGUGAAGCCACCGUAGCAUUUCGAAGCUGCUACGAUUGGCUAGCGUAACUACGUAGCCGUUCUGGCAUUAUGAGCAUAUUUCCAGUGAGCACUUGAGAGGCUGUCACGCCCAUUUAUUACAUCAGUCUUCCAUUGCUUUUCUUUUCAGGCAGUAAUGUCCCAUGAAUCCUAUCCUAUGAAUCAUAUCCCUUAAAGACUUUUUCCACGUUGUAGUUGUGUGGUCUGAUUACAAAAAUAUAAUAUAAAUGAUUGAUUGAGAGAUGAGAUGACGAGUGAAGCCAUGAAAAGCAGCUGCUUUCCUCUCCACUGCUACAGCGUUGUCUUUAUCCGUUAGCCUAGCGACCGAGUGUUGUCUUUAUCCGUUAGCCUAGCGACCGAGUGUUGUCUUUAUCCGUUAGCCUAGUGACCGAGCGCUCUAACAGUCUCGCAGCGUGGACUUAUUUUCUUGCGAAAUCGCACAUACGGUGAUUUGAAGUGAUUGUACUAUGAAGUCGCCAGUGGGCGUUCCUACUACUUGUUGCCAUAGUAACGUUUAUCAGUGCGUGGUGUGGCUAGCGUUCCAUGUUUGACGACAAAUCAGUGAGUAGCCUUGAGCAAGGCCUUUAACCCUCAACUGCUCAGUCGUAUAAAUGAGAGAAAUGUAAGUCGCUCUGGAUAAAGGCGUCUGCCGAGUGCCGUGAAUGUGAAUGUAAAUGUGAUGUGGUCAUAUGCGUCCCAGACCACCUCCGAAUGUUGUUUGGGUGAUCGGAUCACAAUGCACAAAGUGUCCAUGACACAUUCACGCCUGUACGACCCGAUCACCCAGUACGCAUAUCAAUCCCAGGUGUGAACGAGGCAGCUGUAGCUCUCUAUGCCUUCGAACUUGUGAUGUCCUGACACUUUUUCUUUGCAGCACUUAGGCCUUGAGUAAACUGAUACAAUAAUCUCAUUUAAAAGUACAGCAGAGCUGCUUUUAAUUACUGCUGACGGUCUGAGCAGCCAUUUUAAAAAGACAUCAUUGUGCUGAACUCAUCGUUUAUUAACACCUUCCUAAAUUCCCCAUUCAUUUUCUCAGGGGUUUUUCUUUUCUGAUGUUGGAAGCUUUAGUUGAGUACAACAUUACAGCUCUGCCCAGUCAGUGCUUCUGGCUAAACGCCACUGGCUUCACAAGACGCUCAGCUGUUUCCUGGAGCCGCUCUGUAUUGGAGAUAACGUUCAGAAGAACUUUCUCCAGAGGGUCGAGUGUAAGAUAAAGAUGGAGGUCGAUCUGAUCUCGCCUCACACACACAAACACACCCUGCAGGCUGGGAGAGGUUUAUCACCAGAAGCCCACUGCUUCUGAAUCGUCAUUCAGGUCCACCGUGUGUUAGAAACGGAGCUGGAACAGGAUGAUAGCCUUCCGAUUGUGUUUACGUCAGCACUGGACGAGAAGUGAACAUUUUAUUGUAUAAUUCACAUUAUGCAUGGAUGAAAUAAUCUGAUCACAGUAAAAAAACAAAAAAAAAACAGACCUUUCAGAGCGUUUUAUUUAAGAGAAAGACAAAUUUAAAUACUUUUAAAAUAAAAUAAAAGAACAAGCCAUGGCUGAUGUAAUCCUUGCGUCAGCAGUGGAGUAAUGUUUUGACGAUAUUGCGACUUGUGUGAAAUGCUGCAUGAUGAUGGUGUAGAUGUAAAGUAGUCCUCGGUGAGUCACACGGCAUGAGCUCUCCUCUAACCAGUCUAGGCAGGUCCGAGCACAAAAGAUCACAUGACCCUCAUUGUACCCUUCGUUUGUACCCUUCAGCACUCAUCUCACACAGGCUUUAAACAGGACGCGUUUCUUCCUUUCCGUCUGCAACGGCCUCGUAAACAACUGCUCGUGGAGUCACGUCUUCAGCUCCAGUUCCCAGGGAACUGUUCUGCGAUCAUAGAAUAGAGUGGCAUAGUAGAGUAGAACAGAGUACAGUAGAAUAAAGUAGAUUAGAAUAGAGUAGAGCAGGGUAUAAUGGAUUAGAACGGAGUAUAAUACAGUAUAUUAUAAUAGAGUACACUAGAGUGGAAUAGAGCUGAGUAUAUUAGAGUAGAACAGUAUAAUUGAAUAGAACAGAAUAGAGUACACUAGAGUGGAAUAGAGUAGAGUAUAAUAGAGUAGAACAGUAUAAUAGAGCAUAUUAGAGUAGAACAGUAUAAUAGAGCAUAUUAGAGUAGAACAGUAUAGUAGAGUAUAAUAGGGUAGAACAGUAUAGUAGAGUAUAAUAGGGUAGAACAGUAUAGUAGAGUAUAAUAGAGUAGAACAGUAUAAUAGGGUAGAACAGUAUAGUAGAGUAUAAUAGAGUAGAACAGUAUAAUAGAGUAGAGUAGAAUAGAGUAGAACAGUAUAAUAGAGUUGAAUAGAGUAGAACAGUAUAUUAGACUAGAACAGUAUAAUAGAGUAGAGUAGAACAGUAUAUUAGAUUAGAGUAUAAUAGAGUAUAUUAGACUAGAACAGUAUAAUAGAGUAGAACAGUAUAAUAGGGUAGAACAGUAUAGUAGAGUAUAAUAGAGUAGAACAGUAUAAUAGAGUAGAGUAGAAUAGAGUAGAACAGUAUAAUAGAGUUGAAUAGAGUAGAACAGUAUAUUAGACUAGAACAGUAUAAUAGAGUAGAGUAGAACAGUAUAUUAGAUUAGAGUAUAAUAGAGUAUAUUAGACUAGAACAGUAUAAUAGAGUAGAACAGAACAGUAGAAUAGAGUAGAGUAUAAUAAGGUAGAACAGUAUAAUAGAGUAGAGUAGAACAGUAGAAUAGAGUAGAACAGUAUAUUAGAGUAGAGUAUAAUAGAGUCUAUUGGACUAGAACAGAACAGUAGAAUAGAGUAGAACAAUAGAAUAGAGUAGAAUAUGAAUGGAGCACAUAUGAAUAAGAAUAAAGUAGAAUGGAAUAGAAUAAAAACAGAAUAGAGUACAGUAGAGUGUGUAUGGAAUACGAAUAGAAAUGAAGUAAGUAGUAUAUGUAUUGAGAAAAGAAUUGAGGAAAAAAGUAGAGUAAAAUAUAAACAGCAUUGAGUGGAAGAGGAAUUUAAAUAGAAUAUUAAAUGAAUUAGAUAGAGUCAAGCUAGAAGGUAGGACAGAGUAGAAUGUGAAUAGAAUAGUGUAGAGUAUGGAAUUAAAUAGUCUAGAACGUGAUUAGAAUAGAGUAUGGAAUUAAAUAGUCUAGAACGUGAUUAGAAUAGUGUAGAGUAUGGAAUUAAAUAGUCUAGAACGUGAUUAGAAUAGUGUAGAGUAUGGAAUUAAAUAGUCUAGAACGUGAUUAGAAUAGAGUAUGGAAUUAAAUAGUCUAGAACGUGAUUAGAAUAGUGUAGAGAUAAAGACACUAAUGUCGCUAACAGGUAAUGGGAACAUGGCCACUGGUUUAGCAUUGUGUCUAAAUCAGUACACGGUCGCCUCGAAUAAUGCUCAGUAACACAAUUUGUAUAUAAAACAGUAGAAUAAAUCUGUAUUCAAAGUGUGUGUGCGUGUGUGUGUGUAAAACUGCCCGGGAGGUAAAACUAAACCUGGUGUCGUUACUGAACACCUGGUGUGUUCUCUUGCUCAACUGGUGUUAUGCAAACCCCCCAAACCCUGCAGCUCACACACACACACACACACACACACACACACACACACACAGAUGUCCUAAUCAGCUGAUCGUGUGCAGUGGAAAAAAGACAGUAUUACACACCCACACACACACACCUGCCCUUAAGAGGAGCUGAAAUGAAGUAGUGGCUCGUGACUCGUUGACCUGCUGAGACAUUCUUGACUGACAGACUAAAGUUGAAUAGUGUUUAGUGGGGUGUGUGUGUGUGUGUGUGUGUGUGUGUGUGUGUGUGUGUGUGUGUGUGAGUGUGCGUGCUUUGCUGUAGUUGUUUGUUUUUGUUUUAUUAAGGUGUACAAAAGGAGUAACAAACCUGAUUGCGUGAUCAUCACCUCCAAUUGAUUAGAAGACAGUACAGUAGAAUAUAAUAUAAUGGAGUACAAUAGAAUAUGAAGAUGAUGGAAUAGAGUAGAAUGUAAAUGCAGUAGAGUAUAAUGUGAAUAGAAUGGAGUACAGUAACAUAAACAAAAUGCAAUAGUAUGGCAUAGAGUAGAGUCGAAUAUGAAUAGAAUAGCAUAUUAAUAGAAUGGAGUACAAUAUGAAGAGUAGAAAACUAUAGAGUACGGUAAAAUAUGAACAGAGUAGGCUGGGGUCGAUUAGAGUAGUGUGGAUUGUGAAUAGAAUAAAGUAGAAUACAGUGGAGUGGGAUAUAUAAAGUGAACUAGACUACAGCAGAGUAAAAUGUAAUCAUGUAGAAUAUGAAUAGAACAGAAUGGAGUAGCAUAGAAUAGAGUAGAGCAUGAAUAUGAAGAGAAAAGUGUAGAAUAGCAUAAGGGUUCAAAGUAUAGUAGAAUAUGAAUAAAGUUGGAUAGAGUCGCAUAGAAUGUAAUAGAAUACAACGAAAUGGAGUACAGUAGCAUUGAGUAGAGUACAACAUGAAAGCAAAUAGAAUAAAGUAGAGUAGCAUAUGAGUAGAAUGAAGUAGGUUAGCAUAGAGUCGAAAAGAGUAGCAUAGAUAUAUAUACAGUCUAGUACAGUCAAGAAGAGUGGAAUAUGAUUAGAGUAGAGAAGAUGAAGAGUAGGAUAUGAAUGGAAUAAAGUGGAGUAGAACAUGAAAACAAAUAGAAUAGCAAAUGAAUAGAAUGAAGUAGAAUAGCAUA